rnacentral:rRNA from 1 species
GACGAACGCUGGCGGCGUGCCUAAUACAUGCAAGUCGAACGAGAGCGCCCGGUGCUUGCCCUGGUCAAUCUAGUGGCGAACGGGUGAGUAACACGUGGGUAACCUGCCCAUCAGAGGGGGAUAACAUCCGGAAACGGAUGCUAAAACCGCAUAGGUCUUCGAACCGCAUGGUUUGAAGAGGAAAAGAGGCGCAAGCUUCUGCUGAUGGAUGGACCCGCGGUGCAUUAGCUAGUUGGUGAGGUAACGGCUCACCAAGGCCGUGAUGCAUAGCCGACCUGAGAGGGUGAUCGGCAACAUUGGGACUGAGACACGGCCCAAACUCCUACGGGAGGCAGCAGUAGGGAAUCUUCCGCAAUGGACGCAAGUCUGACGGAGCAACGCCGCGUGAGUGAAGAAGGUGUUCGGAUCGUAAAACUCUGUUGUUAGAGAAGAACAAGUGCUAGAGUAACUGUUAGCGCCUUGACGGUAGCUAACCAGAAAGCCACGGCUAACUACGUG